rnacentral:misc_RNA from 1 species
GAAAUGCGAUAAGUAGUGUGAAUUGCAGAAUUCAGUGAAUCAUCGAAUCUUUGAACGCACAUUGCGCCCCUUGGUAUUCCUUGGAGCAUGCCUGUUUGAGUAUCAUGAAAUCUUCAAAGUAAAUCUUUUGUUAACUCAAUUGGUUUCUACUUUGGUAUUGGAGGUCUUUGCAGCUUCACACCUGCUCCUCUUUGUUCAUUAGCUGGAUCUCAGUGUUAUGCUUGGUUCCACUCGGCGUGAUAAGUUAUCUAUCGCUGAGGACACUGUAAAAGGUGGCCAAGGUAAAUGCAGAUGAACCGCUUCUAAUAGUCCAUUGACUUGGACAAUACUUUUAUGAUCUGAUCUCAAAUCAGGUAGGACUACCCGCUGAACUUAAGC